rnacentral:rRNA from 1 species
AUUGAACGCUGGCGGCAGGCCUAACACAUGCAAGUCGAACGGUAACAGGAAACAGCUUGCUGUUUCGCUGACGAGUGGCGGACGGGUGAGUAAUGUCUGGGAAACUGCCUGAUGGAGGGGGAUAACUACUGGAAACGGUAGCUAAUACCGCAUAACGUCGCAAGACCAAAGAGGGGGACCCUCGGGCCUCUUGCCAUCGGAUGUGCCCAGAUGGGAUUAGCUUGUUGGUGGGGUAACGGCUCACCAAGGCGACGAUCCCUAGCUGGUCUGAGAGGAUGACCAGCCACACUGGAACUGAGACACGGUCCAGACUCCUACGGGAGGCAGCAGUGGGGAAUAUUGCACAAUGGGCGCAAGCCUGAUGCAGCCAUGCCGCGUGUAUGAAGAAGGCCUUCGGGUUGUAAAGUACUCUCAGCGGGGAGGAAGGGAGUAAAGUUAAUACCUUUGCUCAUUGACGUUACCCGCAGAAGAAGCACCGGCUAACUCCGUG